rnacentral:rRNA from 1 species
UACGUAGGGUGCAAGCGUUGUCCGGAAUUAUUGGGCGUAAAGAGCUCGUAGGCGGUCUGUCGCGUCGGAUGUGAAAAUCCAGGGCUCAACCCUGGACCUGCAUUCGAUACGGGCAGACUAGAGUUCGGCAGGGGAGACUGGAAUUCCUGGUGUAGCGGUGGAAUGCGCAGAUAUCAGGAGGAACACCGGUGGCGAAGGCGGGUCUCUGGGCAGUAACUGACGCUGAGGAGCGAAAGCGUGGGGAGCGAACAGG